rnacentral:rRNA from 1 species
UGAGGAAUAUUGGUCAAUGGGCGAGAGCCUGAACCAGCCAAGUAGCGUGCAGGAUGACGGCCCUAUGGGUUGUAAACUGCUUUUAUGUGGGGAUAAAGUGCGUGACGUGUCAUGCAUUGCAGGUACCACAUGAAUAAGGACCGGCUAAUUCCGUGCCAGCAGCCGCGGUAAUACGGAAGGUCCGGGCGUUAUCCGGAUUUAUUGGGUUUAAAGGGAGCGUAGGCUGUCUAUUAAGCGUGUUGUGAAAUAUACCGGCUCAACCGGUGGCUUGCAGCGCGAACUGGUCGACUUGAGUAUGCAGGAAGUAGGCGGAAUUCAUGGUGUAGCGGUGAAAUGCUUAGAUAUCAUGACGAACUCCGAUUGCGCAGGCAGCUUACUGUAGCAUAACUGACGCUGAUGCUCGAAAGUGCGGGUAUCGAACAGG